rnacentral:rRNA from 1 species
UACAGAGGCCCCAAGCGUUACUGAGAAUCACUGGGUUUAAAGGGUGCGUAGGUGGUCUGUUAAGUCCGUUGUGAAAGCCCUGGGCUCAACCCAGGAACUGCUUCGGAUACUGGCAGACUUGAGGCUAGUAGAGGUCACUGGAACUGACGGUGGAGCGGUGAAAUGCGUAGAUAUCGUCAGGAACGCCAAUGGUGAAGACAGGUGACUGGGCUAGUUCUGACACUGAGGCACGAAAGCGUGGGGAGCGAACGGG